AGGUGUCCCAUGUUCUCCAUUGCUCUCCUCCUGUGGGCACUGGCAUAACUGCCUCUUCCUGAGGAGGUGGUCCCUGUUCUAUACUCUUCUCCUUCUGUGGGCACCAGCACAACUGCCUUCUAUUCAUAAGGCCCUGGAAGUAACAGCUUCUCAAAAAGCCACUGGACUCACAUGGCAGGAUCUGAGGGGAGCUGGUUCCUGGGACCUUGGAGAGUGGAUGGUUAGCAGAGCUAGGGCCACUCCCUGAGAACUCUGAGCGUACUUAACAGCAGAGCUGAGCUGAUGGACACCUGUGGCUGCCCCACACUCUGUCUGUUAACACACAAGCAUAAUCUAACUCCGUGGUGACAAACAACAUAACACAAUAGCCACAGAGUCAGCUUUGUGAAAUGACACUCCAAAACUGUAGCAGAUGUCAAGUAAUUGACUCUCAGAAACCUUCUUGGGGGCAACCAUUUCCUACUGCCUGAAGGCCACUUUGAAAGGGGCCUCAGAUGGCAAAAAUGCAGCUGAUUGUCAAUACUUUUAUUUCUAAUUCAUGAUGCAAUCCAGAACCCCCAAGUGAUUUCCUCACAGGGUAACAUGUGAGAAGCCACAAGCUGCACUACAGGAAGACAUGGAGCUGGCUGUGCUAUUUGUUAUGACUGCAUCUGAAACACAAGAAUCCAGAAUCAAAGGCUGAACUUAAAAAUUUAAAUAGAAACAUGGAAGGGGAAGGGCUCACAGGAAAAUCUGCCAUCCACAUGGGGAAUGCCCUUGAUGAGAUGUCAGUAGAUCCAACACUGGAGAAGAGAAGGACACCCCAGGUCAAAACAUAGAGGAGGGGCAUUUCAACACACGAGGAGCACACCAGGCCAGCAAGUGCUACUCAAGUCACCCAACAUCUAGGCAACUAGUCUCCAAACAUAGGCGAGGACAGAGAGCAGGAAGGUUUGGCAUUGAAGUGUCCCCAGAUGUGAUGAGAGCAAAACCCCCAAAUCCAGGGAGUCAACAAAUCCCAACAGAAGAACAAUGAAGUAGAUGCAAGAAACACC
rnacentral:lncRNA from 1 species